rnacentral:lncRNA from 1 species
CGGCACGAUGGCGAUCGAUACGGCAGUAAAAUGUUCAAAGUGAGAUAUUUUGGGAAAAGCUCGACAUGCACAGGAGAGGAAAUGCGAUCGCCGAGCUGACUGGCUCGAGGAGAGACAAGCAUGAAACCUGAUAUCUAAUGUAACGUCGAGCUCCUAAGAGCCAGUCCCCCUGCGAAGACAACCUCUGAGCCCUGAAGACCUCGACACAACGUGUCCCACUACCAGGAGCAGCUGACGUGUCCUGUGUGUCCUGAAGAUGCCGGUGUUUUCAAGGUCGCAUCAGAGUCUGAAGUAUUAUCCAAGAAUGAGCUUCUGCUAAAUCGAAGGAAGACAGGCUGUACCAUGGAUAUUUCCAUGGGAGACCAACUGCUGGAGGACAACCCAAUGUGCACGCCACAACAAUAAUCGAACAUGUACCUUCGUCUGGGCUGAC